GUCUCGAUGAUGACUCGGUACUUCGCGGGAAUACGGUAGACUAAUCAGACCGCUUCGUUCACACAGGGAGAAGUGUUGAUUUCUGGGUGACCCCCCUAAAGAGUCCAACUCCAGUCGGCUGGUACAGAAUAGCUUAUGUAAAAUGACACUUAGAGCAGCCGUCUCCACAACAGCUUCCUGGUUCAGGGAGCGAGCAGAUGACAUUAGCCGUGUUAUGUCUGUACGCUAAUAUGAAGUGCUAAUGGAUCCUAUCCAAAAAGCCCAAUGACCCAGGGCCGUUCUCAUCCCACUUCGAUCCUGAACAUGGCUAAUGUUUGAUGAAAGGGGGGUGGGCACCCCCCCCCCCCCCCCCCGCCUCUACAGAUACACACACACACACACACCUUUAGCCUUCUCCUCCAGCUUCCUUUCCAGAUCUGCGUGACGCUUGGACUUAACCUACCCUCUGUUUUUCCUCAUCCUUGUUUCCUACACAAAAGUGAAAUGGAGUGGAUAGCAGAGCAGUUGAAAGACCUCUGGUUCACACGUGUUUGGUUGUUUGAUAAAGGUACAGUGUUACAGUCUAAUGUGUCCCCUGCCCACCCCUCCAUUUUUCUGUGAAAACAUCUUGGGGAGUUGGUGUCAUUCACAGCUAUGCAACAUCAGUAGCAGCUUCUCCAGAGACACAAUAAGAUAGGAACACCAUGACGAGUGCUCAAAGCAUAACAGAGAUAAGACAACCAGGCCAAAAACCUUUUCAACUACUAUAAGAAUGCAAUCAUAACUUACUUUUCUUCUUUUUUUGGUGAGAAUAUGGAUGGGAGUGUCACAUUACAUUCAAUAGGACUGAUAAUAAUAUCUGUCUGUUUUAUUUACACUGUAAAAUUGCUACUUUCAUAAUGCCACUAAUUUAGGCUUUGGACACACAGUAAUUUGCCUUGUAAUUGAAUGACAGCAAAAGCCACUUAAGACUCAAGAACAAGUCUUUUGAGCUUUUGCAUUGAGGGUGGAUAAAAGCUCUUCCAGAGCACCAAAGCCCUGGGACAUGUAGACACAGGAGACUUGGCUAAGAGAGUGCAGGUGGUAAAUGCAUCCACCUAAUCUCACGUUUAAUCCCACAGAGGUGAUGAAAAGGUAUGUGUAUGUGCGUAUAUAUCUUUGUUUGAAUGUGUGUGUGUGUGUGUGUGUGUGUGUGUGUGUGUGU